UGGGCAGCCACGUGGCCGCCCCGGGGCCCGCGUGUGCCCCGGGUGCCGCUGGCCCUGCCCGCUCGUCACUCGGUGGGACACCGCCCGCUGGUCAUCACUGCCCGCCCGUGACUCGGUGGGACACUGCCCGCCGGCCACCACUGCCCGCCGGCCACUCGGUGGGACACUGCCCGCUUGCCACUCGCGGGACGCUCCAGCAGCAGGGGCGACUCCGGCGCCGCAGCCCCUGCCACGGGGUAGGAGCACCCUUUGGACACCCCUGUGCUGAUGCAGUUUUCCGGCGGGGGGAAGGAAAAGCCACGUCCCGCGUCAGGCAGCACUGAACAGAGCAUCCUGACCUACAGGUUCUGCUGCAGCAAAACCCAGCUCUGCACUGUACAACCUGCAAGAAGCAGCAGCAGCUCCUACCAGUUUUGAGUCAUACAUGGAAUGACAGGACACAGAAGUGGAGAUCUCAUUUAUUGGGCUGAAACUACAAAUAGAUUCACUUUGACUUCUGGCUCUGUGCUUGUGCCUUCAACACUUUCACAACAAUCUUCUGCUCCUCGA